CUCACUCAUGAUGAGUUCCUACCGCCCCAGUCUGAGUACUCUGACUGAAAGGUACUCCCUGAUCUGUG